GAUGAACGCUGGCGGCGUGCCUAAUACAUGCAAGUCGAGCGAACGGACGAGAAGCUUGCUUCUCUGAUGUUAGCGGCGGACGGGUGAGUAACACGUGGAUAACCUACCUAUAAGACUGGGAUAACUUCGGGAAACCGGAGCUAAUACCGGAUAAUAUUUUGAACCGCAUGGUUCAAAAGUGAAAGACGGUCUUGCCGUCACUUAUAGAUGGAUCCGCGCUGCAUUAGCUAGUUGGUAAGGUAACGGCUUACCAAGGCAACGUUGCAUAGCCGACCUGAGAGGGUGAUCGGCCACACUGGAACUGAGACACGGUCCAGACUCCUACGGGAGGCAGCAGUAGGGAAUCUUCCGCAAUGGGCGAAAGCCUGACGGAGCAACGCCGCGUGAGUGAUGAAGGUCUUCGGAUCGUAAAACUCUGUUAUUAGGGAAGAACAUAUGUGUAAGUAACUGUGCACAUCUUGACGGUACCUAAUCAGAAAGCCACGGCUAACUACGUG
rnacentral:rRNA from 1 species